rnacentral:lncRNA from 1 species
AGGAAAUAUGCCGCGGCAAACAUCACCACCAACUUCUAUGUGGUCAACGAGCCAUGGCUCUAUUCCCUGGCAUGGUGCUCUGGGGCACACUCUGUGACCACCAAUGCCGUCCACUUGCUGAAGGAUCUCAGCCAGCCACUCUUCCUCAUGACUCCACAGCAGUACAGCACCAUGUGGAUCCUGACAGAUCUGACCUCUGCAUUCCUCAUCUCACUCAUCUUUGUUCUGCAAUGGUGGCGAGAGAAGAAUUUCUCCUGCUGUCCUGCUGAGGACAGUGACACGAUGGUAGAGAAUGGUGGCUCCUACAACAAAUUCAAGACAGGUGAGCAGGGCAAG